rnacentral:rRNA from 1 species
GACGUAGGGGGCAAGCGUUGUCCGGAUUCAUUGGGCGUAAAGAGCUCGUAGGCGGUUCGAUAAGUCGGGUGUGAAACCUCCAGGCUCAACCUGGAGACGCCACCCGAUACUGUCGUGACUAGAGUCCAGUAGGGGAGCGUGGAAUUCCUGGUGUAGCGGUGAAAUGCGCAGAUAUCAGGAGGAACACCAGCGGCGAAGGCGGCGCUCUGGGCUGGAACUGACGCUGAGGAGCGAAAGCGUGGGGAGCGAACAGG